CAGCUGUUCCUACCUCACCACCGACGACACCAGAAAAGGACCUGACCGUUGCCACCUCCCCAUGGACUGUUCCUGAAGUGGAAAAAUCCACCUCCUCCUUUAACAGUAGUCAUCCUCCUGCCAGGUUUCCAACCACUUUACAAAGGAGUAUACCAAACCUCGUCCUCCUCAUCCUGAUCCCAUCCGUCCUGCUGGUUCUCCUUUUGAUUUUGUUCAUUGCUGUAAAGUUUAGAAGAGCAUCACGGAGGAGGAGCAAAG